UAGGGAAUAUUGGACAAUGGGCGCAAGCCUGAUCCAGCCAUGCCGCGUGUGUGAAGAAGGCCUUCGGGUUGUAAAGCACUUUUAUCCGGAAAGAAAAGCGCUGGGUUAAUACCCUGGUGUCCUGACGGUACCGGAAGAAUAAGCACCGGCUAACUUCGUGCCAGCAGCCGCGGUAAUACGAAGGGUGCAAGCGUUACUCGGAAUUACUGGGCGUAAAGCGUGCGUAGGUGGUUUGUUAAGUCUGAUGUGA
rnacentral:rRNA from 1 species